rnacentral:rRNA from 1 species
CCUACGGGGUGCAGCAGUGGGGAAUAUUGGACAAUGGGCGAAAGCCUGAUCCAGCCAUGCCGCGUGUGUGAAGAAGGCCUUCGGGUUGUAAAGCACUUUCAGUGGGGAAGAAAGCCUUGGGGCUAAUACCCUCGAGGAAGGACAUCACCCACAGAAGAAGCACCGGCUAACUCCGUGCCAGCAGCCGCGGUAAUACGGAGGGUGCGAGCGUUAAUCGGAAUUACUGGGCGUAAAGCGCGCGUAGGCGGUCUGAUAAGCCGGUUGUGAAAGCCCCGGGCUCAACCUGGGAACGGCAUCCGGAACUGUCAGGCUAGAGUGCAGGAGAGGAAAGUAGAAUUCCCGGUGUAGCGGUGAAAUGCGUAGAGAUCGGGAGGAAUACCAGUGGCGAAGGCGGCCUUCUGGACUGACACUGACGCUGAGGUGCGAAAGCGUGGGUAGCAAACAGGAUUAGAUACCCGUGUAGUC